GACGAACGCUGGCGGCGUGCUUAACACAUGCAAGUCGAACGGACAGGCCCUGCUUUUGUUGGGUGCUCGAGUGGCGAACGGGUGAGUAACACGUGAGUAACCUGCCCUUGACUUUGGGAUAACUUCAGGAAACUGGGGCUAAUACCGGAUAGGAGCUCCUGCUGCAUGGUGGGGGUUGGAAAGUUUCGGCGGUUGGGGCUGGACUCGCGGCUUAUCAGCUUGUUGGUGGGGUAGUGGCUUACCAAGGCUUUGACGGGUAGCCGGCCUGAGAGGGUGACCGGCCACAUGGGGACUGAGAUACGGCCCAGACGCCUACGGGAGGCAGCAGUGGAGAAUAUUGCAGAAUGGGCGGAAGCCUGAUGCAGCAACGCCGCGUGCGGGAUGACGGCCUUCGGGGUGUAAACCGCUUUCGCCUGUGACGAAGCGUGAGUGACGGUAAUGGGUAAAGAAGCACCGGCUAACUACGUG
rnacentral:rRNA from 1 species